rnacentral:lncRNA from 1 species
CUUUUGGGAGUCUUAUUACAACAAUUAUGGAUGAUUAAGCUAUAUUUAAAAAAGGAGGAAAAAAGCAGUUCCAUGACCAAUAGCACUAACAAAAGCUGGAAACCAGUGCGAACAUGAUUACACAGAGGAAACUCAUACAGCUUUCAUCUGGCAGAAGGCUGGGAAGGACAGUUUGGUGCAAGGGUCAAACCCAAAAGCACCAAAUUUCUGCAAUGUCAUGUACAAGCAUGCCCUCCUCUCUGGUCUCCAAAAAUCUUGCUCUCUUGGCAGUACAGAACAACCACACUGGCUAGCAAUCACGAAUACAAUACAAUAUCUAC